rnacentral:rRNA from 1 species
UACGAAGGGGGCUAGCGUUGCUCGGAAUCACUGGGCGUAAAGGGCGCGUAGGCGGGUUCUCAAGUCCGGGGUGAAAUCCCACAGCUCAACUGUGGAACUGCCUCGGAUACUGGGGGCCUCGAGGGUGGUAGGGGUAUGCGGAACUAUCGGUGGAGCGGUGAAAUGCGUUGAUAUCGAUAGGAACUCCGGUGGCGAAGGCGGCAUACUGGACCACAUCUGACGCUGAGGCGCGAAAGCCAGGGGAGCAAACGGG